rnacentral:rRNA from 1 species
UGAGGAAUAUUGGGCAAUGCCCGCAAGGGUGACCCAGCAACGCCGCGUGGAGGAUGAAUGUCGUAAGAUUGUAAACUCCUGUUAGAGGGGAAGAAUAGUACCGGUUGGACCGGUAUAAGACUGUACCCUCAGAGAAAGCCCCGGCUAACUACGUGCCAGCAGCCGCGGUGAUACGUAGGGGGCACGCGUUGUCCGGAUUUACUGGGUGUAAAGGGCGCGCAGGCGGGAUAAAAAGUCAGUGGUGAAAUCCUACAGCUUAACUGUAGAACUGCCUUUGAUACUUUUAUUCUUGAGUUCGGGAGAGAGAGACGGAAUUCCAGGGGUAGUGGUGAAAUACGUUGAUAUCUGGAAGAACCCCAGUUGCGACGGCGGUCUCUUGGUCCGACACUGCCGCUGAGGCGCGAAAGCGUGG